UACGUAGGGUGCAAGCGUUGUCCGGAAUUAUUGGGCGUAAAGAGCUCGUAGGCGGUUCGUCGCGUCGGCUGUGAAAACCUGAGGCUCAACCUCAGGCCUGCAGUCGAUACGGGCAAGCUAGAAUUCGGUAGGGGAGACUGGAAUUCCUGGUGUAGCGGUGAAAUGCGCAGAUAUCAGGAGGAACACCGGUGGCGAAGGCGGGUCUCUGGGCCGAUAUUGACGCUGAGGAGCGAAAGCGUGGGGAGCAAACAGG
rnacentral:rRNA from 1 species